rnacentral:tRNA from 1 species
GAGUGUAGUGGUUAUCACGUUCGCUUCACACGCGAAAGGUCUCCGGUUCGAUCCCGGACGGAACCA